GAGUAACGCGUGAGGAACCUGCCUUUCAGUGGGGGACAACAGUUGGAAACGACUGCUAAUACCGCAUGAUGCUUUUGGGAGACAUCUCCCGGAAGCCAAAGCUUUAUGUGCUGAAAGAUGGCCUCGCGUCUGAUUAGCUAGUUGGUGAGGUAACGGCUCACCAAGGCGACGAUCAGUAGCCGGUCUGAGAGGAUGAACGGCCACAUUGGGACUGAGAUACGGCCCAGACUCCUACGGGAGGCAGCAGUGGGGAAUAUUGGGCAAUGGGGGAAACCCUGACCCAGCAACGCCGCGUGAAGGAAGAAGGCCUUCGGGUUGUAAACUUCUUUUACCAGGGACGAAGGACGUGACGGUACCUGGAGAAAAAGCAACGGCUAACUACGUGCCAGCAGCCGCGGUAAUACGUAGGUUGCAAGCGUUGUCCGGAUUUACUGGGUGUAAAGGGCGUGUAGGCGGAGAUGCAAGUUGGGAGUGAAAUCCAUGGGCUCAACCCAUGAACUGCUCUCAAAACUGUAUCCCUUGAGUAUCGGAGAGGCAAGCGGAAUUCCUA
rnacentral:rRNA from 1 species